UUUGAGUUAUGAACAGAAAAAGGCAGGGUAAAAAGGUGGUGAAUUCAAAUUGCUAACUGUAGGUGGAGACAAGGCUUUUCUUUGUAGUUCUUCCGUCCUAGCAGUUAGAGAGUGUGUGAUCUGAGGAGGCUUCGGACUGCCAGGUAAGAUCCUCAGCUGUUAUUGGUUGCAGAAGAUCAAACAUCUGUGACACAUCCCAUGUUUGAAAUAUACUAGCUCAGUGGAGAGGCAUGUUUCAGGCCCAGAAAAUCCCAGAGGAUAACUCUUUUCUUCAGCUGGAAAAAAUACCAAAGGUCUUCUCUUCCACCCUCUGCCAAUGCUGGAAACCUACAUCCAAAUGGCCGUCCAAAUUCUGUUUAAAAACCUCCAAGGACAGGGAGUCUGCUCUCCUCCAAGGUCGGCGAGGAACUGGGACAAAGCGACGGGAGCUCAC